rnacentral:rRNA from 1 species
CCAAUGUAUGCCUCAGUAGCGGCGAGUGAAGCGGCAAGAGCUCAGAUUUGAAAUCUCACCUAGUGUGCGAGUUGUAAAUUGCAGGUUGGAGUCUCGGGUUAGACGUGUGUGCAAGUCCCUUGGAACAGGGUGCCACUGAGGGUGAGAGCCCCGUAGCGUGCAUGUCGACACCUGUGAGGCCCUUCUGACGAGUCGAGUUGUUUGGGAAUGCAGCUCUAAGUGGGUGGUAAAUUCCAUCUAAGGCUAAAUAUUGGCGAGAGACCGAUAGCGAACAAGUACUGUGAAGGAAAGAUGAAAAGCACUUUGAAAAGAGAGUGAAACAGCACGUGAAAUUGUUGAAAGGGAAGGGUAUUGGGCUCGACAUGGGAUUUACGCAUCGUUGCCUCUCGUGGGCGGCGCUCUGGGUUUUUCCUGGGCCAGCAUCGGUUUUCGUUGCAGGAUAAGGACAAUUGGAAUGUGGCUCCUCGGAGUGUUAUAGCCUUUUGUAGAUGCUGCGUAUGGGGACCGAGGGCUGCGGCGGACUCGUUUCGUCUCGGAUGCUGGCACAACGGCGCAAUACCGCCCGUCUUAAC